CCUACGGGAGGCAGCAGUGAGGAAUAUUGGUCACUGGGCGCGAGCCUGCUCCAGCCAAGUCGCGUGAGUGAUGACUUCCCUACGUGUUUUACACUUCUUUUAUAAAGAAAUAAAUUACGGCACGUGUGCCUUUUUGUCUGUCCUUUAUCAAUACGGCUCGGCUAAAUCCGUGCCAGCAGCCGCUGGAAUACGGAGGAUCCGAGCGUUAUCCGGAUUUAGUGGGGUUAAAGGGAGCGUAGAUGGGGUUUUAAGUCAGUUGUGAAAGUUUGCGUGUCAAACGGAAAAUUGCAAUUGAUACUGGCAGUCUUGAGUACAGUAGAGGUAGGCGGAAUUCGUGGUGUAGCGGUGAAAUGCUUAGAUAUCACGAAGAACUCCGAUUGCGAAGGCAGCUUACUAAACUGCCACUGACAUUGAGGCUCGAAAGUGUGGGUAUCAAACAGGAUUAGAUACCCGGGUAGUC
rnacentral:rRNA from 1 species